GACGAACGCUGGCGGCGUGCUUAACACAUGCAAGUCGAACGGAAAGGCCCUGCUUUUGUGGGGUGCUCGAGUGGCGAACGGGUGAGUAACACGUGAGUAACCUGCCCUUGACUUUGGGAUAACUUCAGGAAACUGGGGCUAAUACCGGAUAGGAGCUCCUGCUGCAUGGUGGGGGUUGGAAAGUUUCGGCGGUUGGGGAUGGACUCGCGGCUUAUCAGCUUGUUGGUGGGGUAGUGGCUUACCAAGGCUUUGACGGGUAGCCGGCCUGAGAGGGUGACCGGCCCCAUUGGGACUGGGGUGCGGCCCAGGCUCCAACGGGGGGAAGGGGGGGGGAAUUUUGCCAAAUGGGCGGAGUGCUUGUGGAACACCCCCGGGUGGGGGAUGCCGGCUUUCGGGUUGUAAACCGAUUUCGCUUGUACCGAAGCGUUAUGAAGGGUAAUGGGGAAAGAACCCCGGGUAAAUUCCGG
rnacentral:rRNA from 1 species